CCCAAGCGAACAAGAAUUUCACAUUUUAAUGGCCCAUCUUUUCCAAUUAAUUCAAUUAAAGCCUCCUUACAGUUGCUAUCCACCUCAAAUAUACCAACUUGAGUGAGUUUUGUUUUGAUCUCCACUUACUAUCACUCAAUGCAUUUAUGUUAGUGUCUCGUAAAGACACAUAAACAAACAAGCUGCUUAUGCCAGACUUGAAUGCUUUUUGACAUUCUAUUUUUGUACUUCAUGGGUUCUACUCGCUUGUAUAUUCUAGUUUGUACAAAUAGAUACUCUUCUAUGCUUUUAGGCAAUUAUAGUGUCACGAAAUGCUCAUCAAUAGCCUACAUACGAGCAUAGGCUUUAAAACAAAGAAGGGCAAUCAGAUCCUAUUGUCUCCUCAAAUAAAUGCAUUUGACUGAUUAGAUUGCUCUUAGCGUGCUUUAGAUAAACGAACAACUCUUUCAUGUUUACGUAUUAGAUCCUUUUUAUGGUUUUAUUCACCCUACUAGUACUCAUAUGGGCGAACAAGCCUCGUACUAUGUAUGCGAACAAAACCUAACUCUUUUCUUAUCUUUUUAGGUACUUGGUUUGUUCGAUCACUAAGCUGUCCAACAUUUUUCAUGAUCCAGUUAGGCCUUGGUCUCUAAAGUGUAUAGGGAUCUGCUCAUCCAUAUUUGCUUCUGAUCUGCAACCAGGUCCAUGCCUCCCAAGAAAUCAAGAGCUUUAAGGAAGAGGAAGGAGGUUGAUUAUACUGAAAAAGGGCUCGGAGAAAUAUUUAGCUCGAAAGGUUUUGUGAUAUCGAGAUCCACUUUUUCUACAAGUGAUCUCUCUCAUUCAGUAGACAAAUAUGGACUCAUUGGCGAGCUUAGGCUUAAAGUCCUUGCUAAUGAUGAAUGAGCAGACUCCCAACCAGAAGAAUAUACUGCUUGGAGUCCCAUGCAUUGUCAAGGAGGCACCUUCCUUCCACUUCACACAUAUUUUGUGGGAAUAUGUGAUUAUUUUGGAAUAGCCAUGUUUCAGUUGACGCUAAACAGUUACAAAUUAUUGGCAGUGCUACGUAUUUUGUAUAGAGUGCUAGAUUGGCGUUCUCCUGAUGCUUUGGCGGUAUAAUACUUUUUCAAUAUCAAGUCCAAUCGUGCAUCAGGUUCUGAAGGGUUCUACCACUUGUGUAGCUAUUUUGGUGGAGAAGUUCUCAGGAGUGGUGUUUCCAAUCUUGGUCGUUAUUUCAGUCAGUACUUUUUUACCAAUGCCAUCAAAUUUGAGCAUAGGCUCUUCUGUGAUAUUGGCCGCUAUCGACGACCAACUCCAACCUCUGAGAUGCAAGAACGCCUUUCUCAGUUACGAGGAUUGGGUGAUAAGUAUAGGAAUGUGUAUUUCCUCAUUAAUGAAAACAAUUUGCAAUUGGUCGAUAUCCUUGAACCACACCACUCAUUGGAUCAUCUAUCUCCCCUUCUGGAGUUUGACUACGUUUCCUUUUUUGAGGUUUGGAAGUCUAUGCAUGAGGGGCGAUCAGAGGAGGUUACUGAUCUUGUUCUAAAUGAAUAUUUCAUUGCUAUUCGUGACGAGCCAAAGUUAGCGCGUUUUGAGGUUUUACCUGCUCGUUCUUCCCCGAGUAGUUUUUGUUCUACAUUGCCCAACUGUCCAGAAUUUGAUUUAUCGCAUGUGCCUCUCCCUUUUGAUUCUUUUAGUGAUGUGGAAGGUUUAAAUCUAUCCCCUAGAAAUGGGGAGCGAACUUUCCCUCAUUGGGUAGAUGAAUAUCUUCCAGAGAGAGCUUUCAAUGCCAAUAGUCUUUCUGGUAUAUUAUUGAUUUUUUAAUGCAUUCUGAAUGCUAUGUAUUCUUUUACUCUUGCAUUUUAUCUUACCAUUUUUCUUUGAGAGGAUGCAUGAAUGCUCGGGCUUUGUUUGGUGGCCCCAAAUUUGUAGGUGCAAGGGCUAGCAAGAGGAGAAAACAAUCAACGAACAAGGAUAAAGGGACCCUUCCAGAGUCUUCUUCUGCUCGUCUAGGCCAAAGUCGACCUCCUGUUGGGGUUACACAACCGUCUCAUGCAGCGACUACUAGUGAGGUCCCCACGAAUAGGUACUUUUCUUUCUCACUACCUACUCGUGCUCAAAUGGUGGUGCCUAGAUUUGAGGAGGUUAUUUAGAGUGACCAGGUACGUGCAAAAUGGUCAUUCUCCAGAGUUUGCAUCACCAACGAGAUCGUUCGCCAUUCCAUUGACAGCACUGUUCAGACAAUGAUCACCUUGACCAACCUAUCUGAGUCUAUCGAGCAAUUGAAGAAGGACAAGGAGGAUGCAUGUCGUACCCAAAUGGUUGAAGUAGAGACUAUUCGUGGCAAGAGGAACACUUAUAGGACUGAGCUUGAGCAACUCAAGAGCUCCUCUUGUACUGGGAUCAAUCAACUAAAGGCUGAGAUUGAUUAGCUCCAGAAGUCUCAUGUUGCUGAGAUUGGGCAGCUUAAAGCUGAUGCUGAAGUUGAUGGCCUUCAAACUCUUGAAGAAGAAGGAAAGAUCAUAAAUAACAUGUUCUUUCAGGUAUAGAAACGCAACCACAGUAUUGAUUUAUCAUUUUUGAAUGGCGGAGAGAAGUCCCUACUAAAGGCUUGCGAACAGAAACUUGUUGAGGAGAAAAAUACUUCUGUUCUCACCUCACUAGUGCAGCCAGGGGAUGGUGAUGCUAGUUCAAGACUCGUAGAUCUUGUGACUAGCACUUUUGUUGACCCUUUAGCUACCUCGGGUGACCAGAUCCCUCGGCCAAAGCCUUGAUAGCUUAGUCUCUAGUGCACCUCAUGUUCGAGUAUUUUGUAUUGGCAAACUUUUAACUAUCUUUAUUUUGUGUUGUAGUAUGUACUU